UACAUGGGGUGCAAACGUUGCUCGGAAUUAUUGGGCGUAAAGCGCGCGUAGGCGGUUACUCAAGUCGGAUGUGAAAGCCCUCGGCUUAACUGAGGAAGUGCACCCGAAACUGAGUAGCUAGAGUACUAAAGAGGGUCGCGGAAUUCCCGGUGUAGAGGUGAAAUUCGUAGAUAUCGGGAGGAACACCGGUGGCGAAGGCGGCGACCUGGGUAGAUACGUGACGCAUGAGGCGGCG
rnacentral:rRNA from 1 species